rnacentral:lncRNA from 1 species
AGGGAUUAAAGUGGUGAACAGGAGAAUAAAAGGAGGACUCCUAGGCGCUCACCUCCAAAGUGAGUUCCUUCCUCCCCAACAGACCAGACAACCAGAGCUGCCCUCAACCAUGAAGCUUCUGACAGUCCUUGUGCUGGUUGCCCUCCCCCUUUCCUGCUUUGCAGGUUCUGGAUGCCCAUUUCUAGAAGAAGUGGUUAACAAAACAAUCGAUCUUCAAGUGAGCAUGGAUGAAUACCAAAACUUCCUUAAACCUUUCUCAUCUGGUCCUGAAUCUGAGUAGGCCAUAGCAGAACUGAAGGAGUGUUUUCUCAUCCAGUCAAAUGAAACUCUGCACAAUGCUGCAGCAAUGAUGGUAACUAUGGUUUCUUAUGUUGAGCUCUCAAUCCACUGGACAAGGACAAGCAGGCUCUAAGUUUGUCACUCAUUGUGCCACAGGAGGGGUUACACAUGACUUAUUUUAUUUCAGUGAAUUUAAUUGUGGGUGCAUGUGAAUCUUUUGACAUCCAGAAAGCCAGCCAAGGUCCCAGUGCUGACUUGCCUCUUCACUUUGUGGAAUCUUUCGGGAAUGUAACUUAAAAAGGCCAAAGAGGGAAAAGAAUACACACACACACCACACACUUUCUAUCAAGGUAUAAAACAUCUGAUUCUUAAGAAGUCCUUCACUUGUAGAAGUGAUCAACAAAAAAGAUCCCUUCUUCAUUGAAGCAAAGAGGAAAAUGUUCAUAAGAAUUUUUUAAAAGUCAAGAAAAAACAAAAGAGAAAGAAAAACAACAACAACGAAAGAAGUAAAGGAUAUAAAUAGACAGGUGAACAGAACAAAGCAAUACACUAUGCCCUGAGUGUAUUUUGGUCAGUUUAUUGGAGGAAACUACAUCUCAAAAUUGUAAAGGAAGAAAGACUUACACAUACAAAAAUAAAAUUAAAUACAUUGAAAGAUACAAAGAUGAAAAUUAAAAAAAACUUUAACAAAACAAAACAACAACAACAAAAAGAGAAUAUGAUUAGGCAGGUGAAUAGAACAGAGCUACACUCUAGACUUUGGGUGUAUUUUGGUCUGUUAGAAGAAACUACAUCCCAAAAUUUUUAAGAAAGAAAAACUGAUAUACAUACAAAAAUAAGAUUAAAUACUAUGAAGGGAUAGGAUGCGACAGUAAAAAUGAAAAUUAAAAAAACAUUUUAAAAAAGGACUUGAUGAAAUAAGAAGGUGGUUGACAAAGGAAGGAAGAAAACAAUUUAAAAAAAAAGAAAAAACAUAAAGAAAAUUUAAAAAAUUAAAGUUGGAAGACGGAAGACGAAAAUCAUGGGGAUAAAGCCAUGAGUUCUAUUUGCUCUAUUCCCCUACUGCUGGAUUUCUGCAGUUCUCAGUUGAUUGGUAAAGUUAGUCUUGGCUGGAUUUUUUUGCUAAUCUUCUGGGGGAGGGGCCUAUUGCAUUGAUUCUCAAAGGUCUUUGGCUCAGGUGGAAUUGCACCUCCCCUACCAGGGGCCGGGCUAAGUAAUCUCCCAUUUGCUCUCUGUGGCUUUUGGUCCCUGAAGGCUUUCCUAGCAGCUUUAGAGGAUGAGAAUGGAAAUGGUGGCUUCCCUGGAAAUUUCCUCCCCAGAGCCUAAAGCUCAGGGCCCCACUCCUCAGUGAGCCCUGUCAGUCAAUCAUUCCUGUCUCCCUGGUCUCCAGCCUCCGCACUCUGUGCUCACUGGGCCUGUGAUCUAC